rnacentral:lncRNA from 1 species
AUGGAGCCCCCGGGCAGGGGAGGGGGCCGGGUGUCCUUUGCUGCGGGUACGGGAACGAUGGAUAGGGAAGGAUGGUGGGGUGAGGGUGUUCCUGCCCCAUUCCUGCCCCAAUCCCUGUCCUCACCCCUGCCUGAAUCCCUGCUUGAAUCCCUCCCCUCGUCCUUGUCCGAAUCCCUGCCUUCAUCCUUGUCCUCAUCCCUGCCUGGAUCCCUGCCUGAAUCCCUUCCCUCAUUCCUUCCCAAAUCCCCGCCCGAAUCCCUGCUGCUGGGAAGGGAGGAUUUUGCCUGUUUCCCCAACAAUUCCCACGGAAUCCGGCUGCAGAGGCAGCUCCGCAGCCGUUCCCGUCAGCCGGGGCAUCCUUCAACCCCUGCACCCCGAAGGUCCGGGGGUGCUGCGAUCCCCCCUGGGCACUGGGGGAUUUUCCCUUUGCCGAUCCCCAGCAUUCCAGAGGGUGUCCAACGGAUCCCCACCAGCCCGGGGGAACUUCCCCGAGGCUUUCCUUGGCUUAAAACUUCCCAGAAACUGUUGGGAAGAGGGGGGAAAAGGCUUCGGGGGACAGAGGGGGGCUCCCGGUGCUCCCCUUUUCUCUCCGAUGUCCUGGGAGGAUGGGGCUCCAUGGAAAACUCUGCCUUGGGAAGAGCAGGGAAUCCCAUGGAACGCCCAGACUGGAUCCAGCACUGUCCAGAGAGGCUGUGGGGACCCCAAAUCCCAGAGAACGGCUUAGCUGGGAGACAAUUCCAGCAGCUUGGAUCUGACCUCCUGCCUCCCUCUGUUCCUCCUCUCCGCACCCGACCCUGUGACAGCUCCCGGGAUGGCUCCAACGUUUGUCCCCAGUGCCCAGGGACCCCCUGUGCCCCUCGGGGAGGUCCCCCUGGGCACGGCGCUGCUUCCAUCCCGGGCACUCCGGGAUGUUUCCUUUUUUUCCAGAUUAACUUCCAACCUGACGGAAAUCCUUCAUUUGCACCUCAAAGCGCUUUGCCGCAAAUCCUCCGGAGCCGGCGCUCGGGAUUUUUCCUGGGCCCUGUUCACGGCACAUCCCGUCCCUGCGGGUCCCUCCUGCCCUUCCCCGCUGCUGUCCCACCCAAAGGUGACAUUCCGGGAGCGGUUUUCCAUCCCUAG